GCCCCGUGGUCUUCGCGCCUUCUGGAAGGAUCGUGGCCCCUAGAGAGGGCAACUGAAUAGUUCCCGCUUGGUUGACAACAACCUAAAACUUCCUUCUUCACGAGACUUUUUCUGCUAAUGAAACGGCCUGCAGCAGCCCCAACACAGAUGUGGAACCAGGCCCAGAGAGGGGGCCUGUGAUGGAACUCGGGCCAGCGUGGCAGGACAGCAAGGACAUUAUGACUUUCACGAGCCCCUAAGCUCCACGCUGGGUGCUCCAAUGCAGGGCUCGAACUCAUCAACUCUGGGAUCAAGACCUGAGCUGACAUCAAAAGAUGUGCCACCCAGGCGCCCAACUCCCUUAUCUUUUUAAGGCAGUGGAUCGGAGCAAUGCGUUUUCCAGCAUUAAAUUUUGCAUACCUAAGA